rnacentral:tRNA from 1 species
GCCUGAGUGACUCAGUCAGUUGAGCAUCUGACUUCGGCUCAGGUCAUGAUCUCACAGUUCGUGGGUUUGAACCCCACAUUGGGUU